UCGACUAUACUUCACAGGAUCAUUUCUGUAGUCAGUCUUCGCUUACUUUCACACAAAAAAAAAACAAAAAGU